ensembl:lncRNA
GCCCCCCCUCCCAAUCAACUGAAAAAGCUUUAAGAAAAAACAGGAAAAAAGAAAUGAGAAAGCAAAAAGGAAUGGACGAAGGAAAACUAACAAACUUUUGGGUGGUUUGAUUCCUCCUUUUGAGCCCUUCUGUUCUCUUCGGUCUGUCCUCUCCCCUCUCUCCUCCUCUCUCUCGGCUGUCCCUCCCUCUUCCUCAUCGCCUCUCACCUCUCUCCAUCUCCUUGUUUCUGUGUCUCUCCUCAAACCAAAGUGUUGCUGUGAAGGACGCGAGCCAUUGAAAUCAGAGUGGCCCCCGCCCCUGGCUGGGCAGGCGCAGAGGGAGGGGAGAGCCCCAGGAGACUGGCGGGGCUGCCGGACACUCCCAGGAGAGGCAGACGGAGCCUCAGAUGCCACCCUGGGCCCCGAGGCCUCAGCGUUCUCACUUUCUUUCUUGUCUCCCUUCUCCCACCUGGGAAAUGAAACUUUCGGGCUGGGCCAUGGAGGCAGCAGAGACUCGGCUGUUUCAGGGGUCUCGGGGUGCCUUGUCUGGGAAGUGGUGGAGCGGUUGCCCCUCCCACCCUGGCACCGAUGGGGCCUGGCAUGCGGUCGACCCAUCCUCGCCAGAAUGUAAGCAUCUCCGCUGAACCGACUCCCUGCCCUUACCCUACCUCUGAGUUUGUCCGUUUUUAUUUCCUGAAGAGAAGGGACUGGCUAGCGGGCCUGGGCCCUAGCCCAAGGGUGGAGAUGGGGCCAAGGGCUCCUGAAUGGAUAGGAAGGACGUUUGAGCAGAGCCAAGUGAAAGGAAUUGCAACCAAAAACCCCUCCGAGAAGACAGGCAGCAUGGAAGGCAUGGUGGAGAUGACUCAAUAAACUAUAAUUCUAGACCAAAAAAUAGAAAAGAAAAAAAAAAGAAAAAGAAAAAAAGAAAAAAAAAGGAAAGAAAAUCCAGGACUCAACCACCACCCACUUCAUCCUGCUUCCUCCCCAUCAAGUCCUGCCUCCCGGACUGCUCCUCCACCCCAGUAGGAAGUGGGCAGAGGAGAGGAGGAAGCAGGGGGCAGGGAUGGGCCGACGCCCUGACGUUGGUGGAGGGACCCCCAUGCAGCCAGGGUGGUGGGGACCCUCCCCAUCCAACCCCCAUUAUCUGGGAAAAGAAAAAACAAGAGAAAAUUCCUGGGAGGGGGAAAAAAUAACCAAAUCCCAAGCUUUAACUACAGCUGUGAAACCAAAUAUUGGGAAGGGGGUGGGAGGGAGGGAGGGGCAAGUGUGCCCCAGGUCUCCCCCCUGGGCCCCCCUCCCCCGAGGACUCGAGAUAAGGCACCAAAUACCUCAUAGAACUUUAAUGUUAAAAAAUGGAAACCAAAUAUCGUUGGCUGGGGGCCAGCCAGGGCAAGGGGCUGGGGGGCUGAGGGAGCCAGGGUUAGGAAGGUGAUGGGGGAAUUCAUGCCCCCCACCUCCCUCUGCCCCUUCCACUCCAGCCUCCCGUCUCGACUCCGGGAAACAAAACUAUCUCAUCGUUUUUAUUUUACGGACUGAGCAAGACUGAGACACGCGGGCCCCCACUGGCCUCUGAGUGGGAAAGGCAAGUGCGAGAGAUAAAGGCCUCCAAGAGAAAAAAGAAACAAACCAAAGAUUUAACCAUUAAAAAAAAAACCCACAGACAACUCCGCUACCUUUUUAUACGUUGGAAAAAAAAGUGAAAAAAAUUAAAAAAUAAAAAUUAAAAAAAAAAAAACACAAAAACUCCAAGCCGCAGUUCCUUCAUGCGGUUUGAACUUUGACCUCAGCAGUCUCCAAAGCAAGAUGACGAUGAGAAAGGGGAACAAAAGAAAAAAUAAUGUAUAUUUUUAAGUAUUUGUCCUUGACAUGUUAGCUCCUUGUUAAACAAACACAAAAAGGAGAGAAAAAUCCAGAGAGAAGCGUUGCUGGGAUGGAGACAACUAUUUACUAUGUCUGUGACCCCUCCCCUCUGCCUCCCCUUCCUCUCCUUUCCUGUCCCUGCUGUCCCUCCCCCAACCUGUCCCCCCAAGCCCAGGGGCUCAGUAUUUAUUUAUUUAUAUGACUGCAGGGUGACUGGGGGCCUCUCAGCCACUUAUGGAGAGGCCCUUUGGAUCAUGGUAGGGUGGGGAAGGGGCGAGGAGUCUGGAGAGAAGCAGGAGCCUGAUCUUCGGUCAGUUCCUCUCUGCCGGCUCCUUUCUGGCUUCUCAUGUCACUGCUGCCACCUUCACCUCCCAAAUCCAAGGCUGUUCCAAGGUGACCACCCCACCUUGUGAAGAUGAAACUAGUUCAGCCCUUUCUGAGGUGGGUGUCUCUCCCCUUUGAAAGACUAGGUUCGAAUGGGGAGGGGAAGAGGUGGCUAGUAGUGGGCAAGGGAGACCAAGGAGUCUCAUCCAGACAUGGAGCAGGCCCUGGAGGAGGCCCGCCUCUCCUCCAUCCUCACCAGGUUAGCCCCCCUUUCAGUUCUGUUUGUCCCCUGUGUAGCCCCUCCCCUUCCACCCUGGACCCCCCUCCCUGUCUCUUCUCGUGGUAGCGGGUUAGCGUUUCAGUGUUCUUAACUCCAAUCUGCUUGUUCAUUGUACAAUGUGCUUCUUUUAAGGCCCCAUUUUUGUAACUUGAGUGUGUCAUUCAUCUGAACAACAUCAAAAAAUAAAAAAUGAAAAAC